rnacentral:lncRNA from 1 species
AUGCACGUUGACCUUUUCAGGGAUCGUCUCCUACCAUUUCAGUGGACAACACAGCAGGUUGCCAAUUGUACCUGAGCAAAGAUUCUUUGGCGGCUUCUAUAACUACAGCUAAGUCAAGUGAAGUCAACGUGUUGGUACCUGGUUCUGGGUCUGAAAGUGACUGGGUACGUUUCAGUCGGAGUUUCAACAGUGCUCUAAAUUUUCUUAUGAUACAAUCAAACCUUAAAACAACAUAUCUGCUCAUGUAUUUCUAACUUCAACUGAUAUAUUUUUUUCCUGUCAUUUUCAAAUUUUACUGAGAAUUAGUAAUUGUUUUUCCCUAUCUAGAAUGUAUUUCACAGUUGAGUAUAUUAUUAUAGAUUAGAGGAUGAGAUCCUUGAAAGGGAAACGCACACGAACUGAAUUGAUUGCUAUAAGUUAUUUCUGUCAAACUUUUAUUUCAAAAUGAGUCGUUUCAACUUUCUGACGUGAUUUUAUUAUUAUUAUUAUUAUUAUUAUUAUUUAUUAUUAUUUUUUUUUUUUGGUAGGCGGAGCAUUAUUUUUGAGGUAUCACGUAACUUUUUGUGUUUUUUCUUGACCAUGGUCGAGAAAUGCUCUUGUUUAAAUAAUUUACUCUCUUUAUCGUUUUAGAUUAUUUUACUCAUCCGUGGUGAUGAAACUUAUCCCCUGUGCUGAUAGGUGAUGUUUUUGGUUAUACCAAAUUAUUAACCAACUCUUUCCGAUCGACUGCAAUGAGGAAAUUGGCUGCCUCACCAUCAUGCAACCUGCGAGCGUGGCCCAUCAAGCUUUGAUACAUGCUGGCUGCCCGUCGCUUGCAGCGAAAAAUGGCAUUGGUCGAGCCUGACUAGUUGGUCAAUCUUGACAGGCUGAUCGUCUUUAGGCUCAGCGGGUGGUGUAUCUAGCCGCCUGUUGGGGAUUAGUCUAGGACCGUUAUUUCUCCUAUCCUUUCUGUCUUCAUCUGUCAAUGGGCAGUUGUUGCGGACGCCCGCUAAACAUAAUGACUAGGUUGUUUGAAGCCGUUAGGUUUAAUUGAUCCAUUGGAAAGACACCUACAUCACGUACGCUAUGGCAAAGGUUGGCUUUGGUCAAACUUGGCCUGACCUAUUUAAGAUAUUUCUCGCAUUAGUCAUAAUUGAUGGGUGG